AGAAUGCUGCGGUGAAUGCGUUCCCGGGUCUUGUACACACCGCCCGUCACACCACGGGAGUUGGAGACGCCCGAAGCCGAUUAUCUAACCUGUUGGAAGAAGUCGUCGAAGGUGGAAUCAAUAACUGGGGUGAAGUCGUAACAAGGUAGCCGUAUCGGAAGGUGCGGCUGGAUCACCUCCUUUCUAAGGAGA
rnacentral:rRNA from 1 species